rnacentral:rRNA from 1 species
AUUGAACGCUGGCGGCAUGCCUUACACAUGCAAGUCGAACGGUAACGCGGGGCAACCUGGCGACGAGUGGCGAACGGGUGAGUAAUACAUCGGAACGUGCCCAGUAGUGGGGGAUAGCCCGGCGAAAGCCGGAUUAAUACCGCAUACGACCUACGGGUGAAAGCGGGGGAUCGCAAGACCUCGCGCUAUUGGAGCGGCCGAUGUCAGAUUAGCUAGUUGGUGGGGUAAAGGCCUACCAAGGCGACGAUCUGUAGCUGGUCUGAGAGGACGACCAGCCACACUGGGACUGAGACACGGCCCAGACUCCUACGGGAGGCAGCAGUGGGGAAUUUUGGACAAUGGGGGCAACCCUGAUCCAGCCAUGCCGCGUGCGGGAAGAAGGCCUUCGGGUUGUAAACCGCUUUUGUCGGGGAAGAAACGCUCUGCGCUAAUACCGCGGACUAAUGACGGUACCCGAAGAAUAAGCACCGGCUAACUACGUGCCAGCAGCCGCCGUAACAC